rnacentral:tRNA from 2 species
GGCGCUAUAGUGUAGUGGUUAUCACUCGGGAUUCUGAUGUCUACGUUUGAUUUCCCGAAACCCAGGUUCGAACCCUGGUAGCGCCU